GUGGUUUUUUUACAGUAAAAAUACUACUAGGAUUUUAAGUUCUUUGUGUGAUUUCAGAUCAGUAGUACUAAUGCAGUAUGUCAGUGACAAAAAACAACUAAAUUCAGUUGAGCUGAAAAGAUACCAAACAAGGCAAGGGGGAAAAAAUAAAAUGAAACAAUUUGUGGGUGAAAUACAAACGUAAACUCAAAAGGAGUCAAAAAUGUCCGGGUGUAUUUCAGACCUCAGAGAUCCAACAAAUCAUGAAAAAUUAGGUUUAAAUGUUUGUUCAUGACAGUGCAGAUUUCUGAUAUUUUGUGUAAUUUAAGCUGUAACAAUGUGAUUGUUUUCUAACAAAAAACAGUGAAACUUAAGUUAGACAUGUGUUUGUAAAUGAACCGCCCCAUGUUGUGUAGCUUUCUGGAUUUUAUACUUAUUGGGCUCCAUAUUUAUUUAUUAUACAGGCUAUACAGUACAUAACAUCAAAACUCACAUGUUUUAUGUAACUAAAGUGUGUAAUUAUGUGGGCUACAGACAAUAAUUAAGUUAUAGACUAUAUUUAUAUGAAAAACGUGUAUACUUACUGCAUUUGAAUCAUUUUAACCAUAUGUAACCACCUGCAUAUGUGUUUGGAAAAAAAAAGGCUUUGAUUUUGCCACCCCAUUUGAUUUCUUUGCCACCCUAAGAAAAUUUCUCUAGCUCCGCCCCUGAGCUGCAGAGGUUCUAGAGUAGAAUAGAAUAGCCUUGUAUUGUCCUUGUACAUGUAGAACAAAACGGUGGCAUGAGGAGUUUAGACAACACAGGAGGAAGACACUGAGCAUCACUGCUGCUGCUGUUCAGUCUCUCACAGGAACUCAACACCUCCACAAGUCACAGGCCCUGUAAGGGCUUUGGAGCGUGAUGUCACGGGGGUGGGCGUGGAAAGGAUUUUGGCCUGAUCCGCCAUUUUCCAGGUCCAAACAAAGCGCAAGCGAAAAAGGAGCGAAGGCACACACAACAGCCAUGGUUCGUACUUGCUGUGUGGUCGGCUGCAAUGUGUGAUCGCACGACCGGCAAGAGAAUAAGCUUGAAAAUGGUUUAUCUUUUCAUUCUUUCCCAACCUGGAAGCAACAUGAGGCAGCUCGUGUAUCGAUGUUACCAAACGAAGGCGUCUAGCCUGGAUAGCAGCUGUGAGACGAGCUGAUAUCCAGCUCUCUUCCAUCUCCAAAUAUCUGUUGGUGCUCCAGACAUUUUCAUUCCACAAACCAGCCUAUGAAAUGGAUGAAACACAUCGUGACUGGGUUCCAGCGCUACACAAGGGACCUGCUUCAAACAUACCACCAUGCCAAUCAGAUUACUUCUUCCAUGUGAGGGUGAAGAGGUGACCCUUCUGGAUAAGAUGGUGAAGGUUUGCUGCGUUUGUUGAACAGUGUGGUAGUAAAACCAGGGAAAAUGAAACUUGCUCCUGUUAAAUAUUCUUAAGUCUUGUGCUGUUUAAAUAGCGGUAAUUUUUCAAAAGAUACAGUAAAUAAUGUUAGUAGUGGGUGAUAUCAUGUAAACACUGUCAUGAUUUUGUGUAAACAUUUUGUCUUUUAUAAACUAUAAAUGACAUGGAUUCUACAUUGUAACUGAUGUGAUGUUCUAUAAAGUGGUUUUAAUAAUAAAAA
ensembl:lncRNA